rnacentral:rRNA from 1 species
GAUCAUGGCUCAGAGUGAACGCUGGCGGCAGGCCUAACACAUGCAAGUCGAGCGGCAGGCCGCGUCCGACCACCCUCGGGUGGUCGGAUGGCGGCGAGCGGCGGACGGGUGAGGAAUGCAUCGGAAUCUGCCUCGUUGUGGGGGAUAACGUAGGGAAACUUACGCUAAUACCGCAUACGACCUACGGGUGAAAGUGGGGGGACCUUCGGGGCCUCACGCGAUGAGAUGAGCCGAUGCCGGAUUAGCUAGUUGGCGGGUAAAGGCCCACCAAGGCGACGAUCCGUAGCUGGUCUGAGAGGAUGAUCAGCCACACUGGAACUGAGACACGGUCCAGACUCCUACGGGAGGCAGCAGUGGGGAAUAUUGGACAAUGGGGGCAACCCUGAUCCAGCCAUGCCGCGUGUGUGAAGAAGGCCUUCGGGUUGUAAAGCACUUUUGUUGGGGAAGAAACCGGCCGGGUUAAUACCCUGGUUGAAUGACGGUACCCAAAGAAUAAGCACCGGCUAACUUCGUG